GUAGAGGUAUAUUUCUCUGUUUCUGAUUUCUCUCUCCUCUAAAAUGUGCCUUUCUGAUGAGAAAUAAAUUAACUUUAACAAUGAAAGGAAGGCUUUGUUGCGCGAAACAAGUAACGAAAUGUUAAAUUAUUUAAGUAAAUUAUACUAUUUAGGAUGGGAACGAAGAAGAAAGUUGGAGCAGAAUUUCGAAUAACAGAUACGCUGCAAUGCCGCUCCGUCGAGUAAUAAUAUCGAACAAUAUUUUUCCGUUUAUAAUAUUCUCAAUAGUAGACGCGUUAGGAUGAAGUUCUUUCGGAGAAUUGUAUGAACAGAAAAUUGCUUUUUACGUGCGUGUUCCUCUGGCUCUUCGUGGUAGAAUAGCAAUUAAUUCUAUACCAGCGAAAGUGAAGUAUAAAAUUAGCAAGAGGCGAAAGAUAUUAUGAAAUAAAUUAGAGAUAAUAAUGGGAAAUUCGCAGUAUAACGUGUUACGAUCGUCGAAACGCUACAUCGCAGAUUUAUUGAAGACAUUUCGUUUCUAAUAACUUUACUAUUUUAAUCGAGAUAAUUUUUCUAAAGAAAGUAUCAGUUUUCCUCGUUUGAAAUACAUCAUGGAAGAACGUAAAUCACGUGGAGCCGACAACUCUAUGACAGCUACUUAAAGCUUGCGGUUUCCCAUAGGACUAUUUGGUCAGAUUAGACCCGGAAAAAUGGGGUAAACGUUGCUCACACCCAGUCGAGCUCAUUGUCGUUGACCUGACUCCACAGCCAUUAUUAGCCGUUCUAUCUACGAACGCAGGAUAUCCCGCAAAUAUACCGGACUAACCGAGUCCUGUUACAAAUGGUCUAACGACUAUCGAAAGUGUGCCGACAGAACGCAGCCAUUAAUACACCACUGUUGUGCGAAGAGCGCUGGAAGGUAGGAGAAAGGGAAGGUGGUGGCGUCUGUUCGGAGAAGAGGCGACGAGA
rnacentral:lncRNA from 1 species